UACGAAGGGGGCUAGCGUUGCUCGGAAUCACUGGGCGUAAAGCGCACGUAGGCGGAUCUUUAAGUCAGGGGUGAAAUCCCAGAGCUCAACUCUGGAACUGCCUUUGAUACUGGGUACCUAGAGUAUGGAAGAGGUGAGUGGAAUUCCGAGUGUAGAGGUGAAAUUCGUAGAUAUUCGGAGGAACACCAGUGGCGAAGGCGGCUCACUGGUCCAUUACUGACGCUGAGGUGCGAAAGCGUGGGGAGCGAACAGG
rnacentral:rRNA from 1 species